AAAGAUUUGAUAAGUUGUGAUAGAAACCUGGACUUAUUGACUGAGGAUAUGCUGAAGCAAGGAAAUGAGAAAGAAGGGACCACUGAUGUUUUGUCUGUCAAUCAUGGAAAGUUAGAUGACAUGAUAAAGGCUAACAUCAUGGGAUUUGCAAGGGAAGCUAAAGACACUACUCCAGUACUUGGAUCUUCAAUAUGUAGUUUAGGUUAGGUCAA